UACGAAGGGGGCUAGCGUUGCUCGGAAUCACUGGGCGUAAAGCGCACGUAGGCGGCUUUCUAAGCCAGGGGUGAAAUCCUGGAGCUCAACUCCAGAACUGCCUUUGAUACUGGAGAGCUUGAGUCCGGGAGAGGUGAGUGGAACUCCGAGUGUAGAGGUGAAAUUCGUAGAUAUUCGGAAGAACACCAGUGGCGAAGGCGGCUCACUGGCCCGGUACUGACGCUGAUGUGCGAAAGCGUGGGGAGCAAACAGG
rnacentral:rRNA from 1 species